rnacentral:sRNA from 1 species
GCUGGGUGCAGUGGAGCAUGCCUGUAAUCCCAGUGAUUCAGGAGGCUAAGGCAGGGGAUCACGAGUUCAAGGGUGGCCUCAGAAAACUUAGUGAGAGCCUGUCUUAA